GUCCUUUCGGGGAUAUUUGAUAAAAUUGGAACAAUAUACAGAAAUUAGCAUGAUCCCUGUGCAAGAAUGACAAGCAUAAAUCGAGAAAUGGUCCAAGUAGUA
rfam:Solanum tuberosum cultivar DM 1-3 516 R44 scf00623_8, whole genome shotgun sequence.